UACGUAGGGCGCAAGCGUUGUCCGGAAUCAUUGGGCGUAAAGAGCUCGUAGGCGGCCUGUUGCGUCCGCUGUGAAAUCCCGGGGCUUAACCCCGGGCGUGCAGUGGAUACGGGCUGGCUGGAGGCAGGCAGGGGAGAACGGAAUUCCCGGUGUAGCGGUGAAAUGCUGCAGAUAUCAGGAGGAACACCGGUGGCGAAGGCGGUUCUCUGGGCAUUACCUGACGCUGAGGAGCGAAAGUGUGGGGAGCGAACAGG
rnacentral:rRNA from 1 species